AUUGAACGCUGGCGGCAUGCCUUACACAUGCAAGUCGAACGGCAGCACGGGUGCUUGCACCUGGUGGCGAGUGGCGAACGGGUGAGCAAUCCAUCGGAACAUGUCCUGUAGUGGGGGAUAGCCCGGCGAAAGCCGGAUUAAUACCGCAUACGAUCUACGGAUGAAAGCGGGGGCCCUUCGGGCCUCGCGCUAUAGGGUUGGCCGAUGGCUGAUUAGCUAGUUGGUGGGGUAAAGGCCUACCAAGGCGACGACCAGUAGCUGGUCUGAGAGGACGACCAGCCAGACUGGGACUGAGAAACGGCCCAGACUCCUACGGUAGGCAGCAGUGGGGAAUUUUGGACAAUGGGCGAAAGCCUGAUCCAGCAAUGCCGCGUGUGUGAAGAAGGCCUUCGGGUUGUAAAGCACUUUUGUCCGGAAAGAAAUCCUUGGCCCUAAUACGGUCGGGGGAUGACGGUACCGGAAGAAUAAGCACCGGCUAACUACGUG
rnacentral:rRNA from 1 species